UACAGAGGGUGCGAGCGUUGUCCGGAAUCCCUGGGCGUAAAGGGCGCGUAGGCGGCUUGAUAAGCGUGCGGUGAAAGCCCGGGGCUCAACCCCGGGUCGGCCGUGCGAACUGUCGAGCUGGAGCACUGUAGAGGCAGGUGGAAUUCCGGGUGUAGCGGUGGAAUGCGUAGAGAUCCGGAAGAACACCGGUGGCGAAGGCGGCCUGCUGGGCAGUGGCUGACGCUGAGGCGCGACAGCGUGGGGAGCAAACAGG
rnacentral:rRNA from 1 species